rnacentral:tRNA from 1 species
AUUAUUUUGGCAGAUUAGUGCGAUAAAUUUAGAAUUUAUAUAUGAAUUUUUAAAAAAUUUAAAUAAUA